rnacentral:lncRNA from 1 species
CCAACCGAGGUUGUCAUUGCACAGUAUGGGAAAGAAAACUUCCAGCCCAAGUUGUUACUGUACAGUACAGUACUGUGAAAGAUGCCCAACCCAACUUAGCAUACUGUAUUGUGAAAUAAAUUUUCCAGCCCAGGUUGUUACUGUACAGUACUAGAUCCUGCCCAACCCAAGUUAUACAGUGCUGUGAGAAAGAAGUUUUCCAGCCUACGUUUUUACUACAGUACUGUGAUGUGAAAGAUCUUGUGCGACCCCAGGAGUCCUGAUUGCAGGUGAGGCCGGAACCGGAGCAGAGCUUUCACUUUCGCAAUAAAAAAAAAAAAGAAAAAAGGAAAGAAGAAGAACAAAAGCGCCGCUCACUGCGCGACGAAGAAGAAGAAAAGCGCCGAGGAUGGGGGACUACAGGCACCCGGUCUUCUUUGAAUUGCCCCUUCUGGAGGACAAGGCGAAGGAGAAGGUGCAGAAGUACUUUCAGAUCCGGAGAAAGUCGGGCGGCGGGGAGUGCGGCCCCCUGCAGCAUAUCGGGGGCAACACAUACAAGAUUUCCUUCAAGGAUCCAGAGGCUCAGCAGCGAGUCCUCCAGAGAGGAAACCAUGUGCUGGAGACAUCCACCGGCCCCAUUUUGUUCUCUGUGUGUUUGGGUCCAGACCUGGUUUCUGCAGCCAGUCCCACGGUAAAAGCAGGAUACACCAUAACUUACUGGCUUCAUGCCACUUAAUAAAAUAUGGACUUCAAACUCAAGAUGUAAAAAUACAAUCAAUAGUUAUACAUACAUAAACACCAAUAAGGGGGACGAGGUGGUGCAGCGGGCUUGGUGGGGUCCUGCUCUCUAGCAGGUCUAGGGUUCGAGCCCUGCUUGGAGUGCCUUACAGCAGACUGGCGUCCCGUCGCCCCCCCCCCCCCCCCCCCCCCCCCCCCCCCCCCCCGGCCCUCCGCCCUGUGUUCCCGGGUUAGGCUCCGGCUCGCCAUGACCCUGCCUGGGAUAAGCGGUUUUCGACUGUGUAAACAUCCAUUAUCUCAUGACCUUUCCAAAAAAUGUUUUACGUUUAAUUCCAGUUGCAAAGUAGAUCUAUUUAUGCAUACAUUGAUCAAUACUGCUAUACAUAUAUAUUAUAUAUAUAUGAUCAUCUAAAAAUAAUUAGCCAGCUAUACUGUGUCAGUGUGCAGUAGACUUGCCCUAUGGAAUUACCAUCUGACUCUUACAGUUACCGGGAGUUCAUGUGUUAAAUACUGUACCUCUUGUCUUAUUUCCUUGUCCAGGGCGCAGCACAACAAACAGUCACAGCAGAUCCAGGUGGGCCUUUAUGCCUCA